UACGUAGGGGGCAAGCGUUGUCCGGAUUUACUGGGCGUAAAGAGCGUGUAGGCGGCCAGGCAGGUCUGUUGUGAAAACUGGAGGCUCAACUUCCAGACGUCGACAGAAACCGCUUGGCUAGAGUCCGGAAGAGGAGAGUGGAAUUCCUGGUGUAGCGGUGAAAUGCGCAGAUAUCAGGAAGAACACCGAUGGCGAAGGCAGCCC
rnacentral:rRNA from 1 species